rnacentral:lncRNA from 1 species
UCAUCCAUUUCAGAUCGCAAAGCCUCCAUCCAUCAAUAGUGUAGGUGACUACAUUAAGCUUCACACCUCUUUGAAUCAUCAUGUCAACUACAUCAUGUGCUUUGGCAACCAUUCUUGAAAUGUAGGGAUUUGGAAACAGAAAACACAUCCAUCUCAUAUGGACUAUUUUCUCAGUAACAUAAAAAUUCUUCAUCUACUAUAUGACUAAGGACCAAAUAG